rnacentral:lncRNA from 1 species
GGGUUCCGCUUGACUCUGCAUUCUCCUACUUCCCUGCCUGCUUACUCUCUGCCAUCAUAGUUUUUUGCUUCAACCUUCAAAUGUAGCCAUUCUUUUUCUAAAGCGGUACUUAUUCUCUUUAUUAGUUAAAAUUAUUAAUUUUAUGCACUUACUGUUCUAGCUCCAAUUUUGCAUUUCCAGUUCCCUGCUGGGAAUAAAUUAAAUUGGCAGAAGCUCAGUCUAAGUGCCUGCAACAGAAUUUGUCCCAUAUCCAUACAACUUGCUCCUCCACAACAAAUGGGAGAAUCAUCCUCUUACCUCCAGCACCUGCCUCAAACAAAGUUUCUGAUCCAUCUACCACGUAACUUUGACGCUGACCAAGAAUUACAGCUUCAAAGAAAUCAUUCGAGGAUCAUUAAUAUCUUGGUCAUGAAUAACUUUUAUGUGAAAGGCUCUGCAGCUAAUCUCAAGUGCAGUGAACUCUGUUUCAUUACUGUAUUUCCAAAUUUAGAGUUAUUUGGGUUGUAUAUAGGUCAGAUAAUUUACUUUUUUGUUUUCAACCUAA